UUCCAUUCUUAAUCGCUAAACCCUCACUCACCGGCGAUCGCAGAGAACGAGACUUCCACCGUCGAAGCAAAUGAAGCAAACAUCUUCAUCUUCCUUCUUGAUCUGCUUCGGCGGAGGAGCUACUUUCGGAGUUCCUUUCGCCGGACGACCACGCUUCUUCUUCAUAACUUCACUGUUCUCGGCGAUGACAGCGAGAACUACUUUCGGCGCAGUACAACAACCGCCGUCUCUCUCCGUCAUGUUCACAUCGGAAACUGCCUUCGUCGGAACUUCAACUUGAUUCGUCUCCGCCGCAGUCACCGUAACGGUCGCCGGAACUGUCGCCGGAACUGUCUCUGUUGUAGUUGCCGGUGUUUCCGGCUUCGAUUGUUCCAUAAAUAAAAACAAAUAAAAAAAUCGAAUCGAAUAGAAGAGAGAGAAUCAAUCAAUAAUAGUCAAUAAUCAUGAAUAAUUAGGUAACAUGAGUUGAAUUUGAAUUGAGUUGAGUUUGCGUGAGGGAAACUGAAAAGUGAAAACCCUAGCACAUGGAAAUGGAAAUGGACUGGGUUCAGAGUAAGAAGGAACUGUUUGUGAUAAUUUUGGUAAUUUUGUGGGAAAAAGUGAAGAGAUCCCUAUCAAGCUAGAGAGAGGAAGUAGAGAGAGAAUAUGUGGAACUCUGACUAUCACUCAGAAGAAGAGAGAAGAAAGAAAGAAAGUAGACAACAUGCCUACUAUUGCUCACUCACGAUUGGUUCAAUGUGGCACCUCCCUCUAAUUACUCCUUUUUUUCUUUUGUUUUUU
rnacentral:lncRNA from 1 species